rnacentral:rRNA from 1 species
GGUCCCAGUUCGGAUUGAGGUCUGCAACUCGACCUCAUGAAGUCGGAAUCGCUAGUAAACGCAUAUCAGCCACGGUGCGUUGAAUACGUUCUCGGGUCUUGUACUCACCGCCCGUCAAGCUAGGGGAGUCGGGGGUACCUAAAGCGCCCCGUAUGGGGCAUCAAGGUAAACUCGAUGACAAGAGCUAAGUCGUAACAAGGCAUCCGUAGCGGAAGCUGCGGAUGGAUCACCUCCUUUCUAG